UACAGAGGGGGCUAGCGUUGUUCGGAAUUACUGGGCGUAAAGGGCGCGUAGGCGGCCCUCUAAGUCGAACGUGAAAUCCCCGGGCUCAACCCGGGAACUGCGUCCGAUACUGGAGGGCUCGAAUCCGGGAGAGGGAUGUGGAAUUCCAGGUGUAGCGGUGAAAUGCGUAAAUAUCUGGAGGAACACCGGUGGCGAAGGCGGCAUCCUGGACCGGUAUUGACGCUGAGGCGCGAAAGCCAGGGGAGCAAACGGG
rnacentral:rRNA from 1 species